AAGGGCACCACAAGAACGCGUGGAGCAUGUGGCUUAAUUUGACUCAACGCGGGAAAUCUUACCGGGUCCGGACACACUGAGGANUGACAGACAUUCAUGAGUUGUUGCCUCGGCGCAACUCAUACAAAUAUGCUAGUUCUUUCAUGAUUAUGUGAUAGGUGGUGCAUGGCCGUUCUUAGUUCGUGGAGUGAUCUGUCUGCUUAAUUGCGUAUCGUAUUAAGUAGGCCAUAUACGUGGGAUCUCUGCGCCAUGACCCCUCAACUUCUCAGUUGUAGCGCGCGUCAUACGUACGAAUCUCACUUGGCCUAUCGAUAGCAACGAACGUGACCGUAUUCUAUUGUUGCAGUGAAAUUCUUACCACUGCAUUGUGUGAUACUUUUAGUGUUGCACGUAAACUAUAGAGACCGCUGUUUCUUUCUUAAACCAGAGGAAGGUUACGGCAAUAACAGGUCUGUGAUGCCCUCAGAUGUUCCGGGCUGCACACGUGCUACAAUGAUCAUUGCAUUGUGCAUCUAACCCAAUAGUGUGUCUAGCUCAGCUUGCAUGUUGCUUGCAAUAUGCAAUGCGUGAGCUUGGACGCCUGAACCUACUUCGAAAGUAAAUNNUAGUGGGCAAUCUAUUAGAAGUAAUGACUCGCAUUUCAGACCAAAGGCAACUUAUAUGUACGCACAUGCUUAGCCGGCUUACCUUUGUGUGAGUGCAGUGCCUAACAUGUUGUCUCGUACGCCUAUCGUAUUAAUUCAUACGUGGGGAUAGAUCAUUGUUUAAUUGUUGGUCUCGGUCUUAACUAGGAAUGCCUUGUACGGGUCUUUGGUUCAACAUACCACUCGGAAUACGUCCCUGCCCUUUGUACACACCGCCCGUCGCUCUUACCGAUGGAUUAUACUAUGAGUAUGUAGGACUGUACGUGACCGUGAAAAAUUUAUUUUUCACUCACCAUGGAAAUAUACACGAAUAGUGUGAUCUAAAGGNANNNGAAGUCGAACAAGGCA
rnacentral:rRNA from 1 species